GCGCCCGUAGCUUAACGGAUAGAGCACUGGCCUCCGAAGCCGGUGAUGUGGGUUCGAUUCCCACCGGGCGCACCA
rnacentral:tRNA from 1 species